UCCUGGUGGGCCCGGCGGCGGCGGCUCAUCAUCCAGUAAUGCUAAACUCUUCUCCAGUGCAUCAUGAACGGGGAGGAAUGUCCGGGGUGCAAAUAGAACGUGUGUCUCAUUUCAGAAGAAAUGAGGCGACGUUGCGGAGGUCCAGGCGGUUGGCCCGGUGGAGGUCCUGGAGGAGACGGUCCCGGCGGUGGAGGACGGCUGGGGGAUCCGGCGGUGGAGGACCGAAGGCGGGUCGUGAUUAGACCAACCAGCUCCUCAUCCAUGGAAGGAUUGAAGGAGUCACUGGGGAUGAAGAUCACUGCUCAGGGGCUGACGACCACUCAUCUUUCCGGAGAAGCGUCCUCAUGGUGCAGGCGGUCAAACCUUCACCUCUUUGAAGAGACCAAGCAGCUUGAUGACUGACUGGUUCUUUAUACUCAAGACCUCGUCCCGGAGCAGAGGACGGACCUAAGGCCCGCAGCGCAGCCGACUAGAGACUCCUUGUGGAACCGGUUCAAUUAAGUUGACCUCUCCUUCAGGCGACUUAAAGGGAGACCAGAUGUGCGGCAGCUGGGUGUCAUGGUGCAGAGACCCAACGCUGUACUGAACUACACCAGUGUGUCCUACUCCCAUAAACCCUGAGGAUCCCUGGAUGGCUACACCAGCACAUUAAUCCACACCCAACAUCAACACACAGUGCACACUCUAUAGAGCUCGUAAGUCCGCCCCUUGCGGCCGGACCUCGUGAGAUCGUAAGAUAUGACUGGGUUUCAAUGGAGAGAAAGUAAUUAUUUUCUCCAUUUUAUGUUGCACCACAUUUUGGGGGAAGAAUGUUUGAAUCAAUCUUUGUCAUUUAUUUCUGUACUCCAUAUCUGUAAUCCCAGCUGUUGUAUUUUAACACGGUAGCUGGGAACCCUCUUUAUAGGGAGCGACUAGAGGGACGAGACUGGAAGCAAACCUGAGCCUGGAUCUUAACCUUCUUUCUAAACCUAAUGCCGCAAUUUAACCGCAAAUAAAGUGAGGCCUAAAGUAACUUGACUCUCUUGC